UGGGGAAUAUUGGACAAUGGGCGAAAGCCUGAUCCAGCCAUGCCGCGUGUGUGAAGAAGGUCUUCGGAUUGUAAAGCACUUUAAGUUGGGAGGAAGGGCAGUAAGCGAAUACCUUGCUGUUUUGACGUUACCGACAGAAUAAGCACCGGCUAACUCUGUGCCAGCAGCCGCGGUAAUACAGAGGGUGCAAGCGUUAAUCGGAAUUACUGGGCGUAAAGCGCUCGUAGGUGGUUCGUUAAGUUGAAUGUGAAAGCCCCGGGCUCAACCUGGGGACUGCAUCCAAAACUGGCGAGCUAGAGUAGGGCAGAGGGUGGGGGAAUUUCCUGUGUAGCGGUGAAAUGCGUAGAGAUAGGAAGGAACACCAGUGGCGAAGGCGACCACCUGGGCUCAUCCUGACACUGAGGUGCGAAAGCGUGGGGAGCAAACAGG
rnacentral:rRNA from 1 species